ACGANNNCUGGCGGCGUGCCUAAUACAUGCAAGUCGAGCGCAGGAAGUCAUCCGAACCCUUCGGGGGGACGUUGACGGAAUGAGCGGCGGACGGGUGAGUAACACGUAAAGAACCUGCCCUCAGGUCUGGGAUAACCACGAGAAAUCGGGGCUAAUACCGGAUGGGUCAUCGGACCGCAUGGUCCGAGGAUGAAAGGCGCUCCGGCGUCGCCUGGGGAUGGCUUUGCGGUGCAUUAGCUAGUUGGUGGGGUAACGGCCCACCAAGGCGACGAUGCAUAGCCGACCUGAGAGGGUGAUCGGCCACACUGGGACUGAGACACGGCCCAGACUCCUACGGGAGGCAGCAGUAGGGAAUCUUCCACAAUGGACGAAAGUCUGAUGGAGCAACGCCGCGUGAACGAUGAAGGCCCUCGGGUCGUAAAGUUCUGUUGUAAGGGAAGAACAAGUGCCGCAGGCAAUGGCGGCACCUUGACGGUACCUUGCGAGAAAGCCACGGCUAACUACGUGCCAGCAGCCGCGGUAAUACGUAGGUGGCAAGCGUUGUCCGGAAUUAUUGGGCGUGAAGCGCGCGCAGGCGGCCUCUUAAGUCUGAUGUGAAAGCCCCCGGCUCAACCGGGGAGGGCCAUUGGAAACUGGGAGGCUUGAGUAUAGGAGAGAAGAGUGGAAUUCCACGUGUAGCGGUGAAAUGCGUAGAGAUGUGGAGGAACACCAGUGGCGAAGGCGACUCUUUG
rnacentral:rRNA from 1 species